rnacentral:tRNA from 1 species
GGAGUAUAUUUAAAAAAUAAAAAUUAAUUUGCAAUUAAAAAUUGACAUUAUGUCUACCCA